UACGAAGGGGGCAAGCGUUGUUCGGAAUUACUGGGCGUAAAGCGUGCGCAGGCGGCUUCUCAAGUCAGGGGUGAAAGCCCAGAGCUCAACUCUGGAAUUGCCUUUGAGACUGAGUGGCUUGAGUACGAGAGAGGUGAGUGGAAUUCCCAGUGUAGAGGUGAAAUUCGUAGAUAUUGGGAAGAACACCGGUGGCGAAGGCGGCUCACUGGCUCGUAACUGACGCUCAUGCACGACAGCGUGGGGAUCAAACAGG
rnacentral:rRNA from 1 species